rnacentral:lncRNA from 1 species
AAUAAAAGCAUUAAUUGUAUCAAAUUGCUAUAAAUCUUAGUGAGAUGCUGUCCCUGUCCUCUUGGUACUAUCUAAUAGAGAAAAGACAGAACUGUAUAUAUCUAUCAUCUAUCACAUUAGGAGGGGCCUGGACCACUGGUAUACAUAGGAAGAGGCACAGGGAAUGAAUUCUAGCUCCACGAAGCCCUAAAUCUAACACACUUGCUUUACUGUAUGCAGAUCACUGAGUUACUUCAGGAUAUGGAAAACAUUUUAUGGAUAUUGUCUGCUGAACCAUAUAGGAACUCUGUGAGGGGCAAGUGCAUGCCUAGAGGCACUGUGGGAGUGGGAGAAAUAAGAAGUUUAGUGGAGAGGUGGCAGCUUGCUGAGCAUGCUAAGCAUUCCGGCAUCUUGGCAUGGUGGAAGCUAUUGUCCUGUUUGGUGGUGAGUUUUCCUUGA